UUUAUUUCUUAUAUAGUAGCCC
rnacentral:siRNA from 1 species